UCAGAACGGGCGCUGCCCUCCUCCCUUGAAUACCUUCAUCUCUGUAAACUGGAAUCUCUGGACUACAUUGGGCUUCAGCACCUCACCUCUCUUCACAAAUUGAAGAUCGGGAGUUGUCCUAAACUUGAAUCGUUGCAGUGGCUGCCUUCCUCCCUUGAAUUCCUUCAGUUAUGGGAUCAGCAAGACCGGGACUACAAGGAGCUUCGGCACCUCACCUCUCUUCGCAAAAUGCAGAUAAGGAGGAGCCUUAAGCUUGAGUCCUUUCAAGAAGGCACACUUCCCUCCUCCCUUGAAGACCUUGAAAUCUGGGAUUUGGAAGAUCUGGAAUUUAAGGGGUUUCGGCACCUCACCUCUCUUCGUGAAUUACAUAUCUGUAGUUCUCCUAAGCUCGAGUCCGUGCCAGGAGAGAAGCUGCCCUCCUCCCUUGUAUCUCUUCAAAUAUCAGGUCUGAUAAAUCUGAAAUCUGUAAUGGGGCUUCAGCACCUCACCUCUCUUCGCAAAUUGAUUAUCUCGGAUUGUCCUCAGCUCGAGUCCGUGCCAAGAGAAUGGCUGCCCCUUUUCCGAUAUGAUGAUAUUAGACGUUGUCCUAAACUUAAUUUGGUUAUAGGAGACGGUCUCACUAUACCAUUUUCCUAGUUUUGUACCCGCGCUCCGCGGCCGAGCGGUUAUUUCUUUUAAGUAAACAAAAAUUAAUAAAUAGGUUUUACAACGCAUUCUUUAAUAUACAAUAUUUUUCUAUCAUAAAUAGAAAUGUCUAUAUAUAUAUUUAGUAAUUAGAUCAAUAGUUGAUAAAGAGAUAAUUAAGAAUAAAAUAUUUAAUCUUACAAUAUAAAUAAUUAAUAUAUUUAGUUAUGUUUAACAAUUAUAUUUUCUAAAGUUUUUUUUAUAUAUAAAACAAUUAUAUGUGCCAAUAAAAGGUUAAAAAAAAAUCAUAUCCAAUGUAAAAUGAAGAAAAUUAAAAAAAAAAUAUGUCAAACUGUAUAAAUAUGGUAACAUUGUGACAAUAGACACAUGAUUGAGAUAAUUUUAUAUAAAGAAAAAUGAAAUAAAAAGCACAAAUACCAAUUCUAAAAAAGUUAAAUGUUGAAGGAUGAAAUUGAAAAAACACAAGGAUAUUUGAUUUCGCAACAUGGUUCAUGCACUAAGCCGUGUUUAAUAGCUUUGUUUUUUAGAAUAUAUUUUUUAUUUAAUCAAACAAUUAUCUAUGCAAAUAAAAGAUAAAAAAAAAUCACAAAUAAAAGCAAAUUGAAUCAAAUCAUGAAGUCAAUUAUAAAAUAACUCAAUGUUGAAUGAUGAAAUUAAAAAAAUAAUAAUUAAGAAAAACAAAAAAAAUAUGGGUCAACCCUUAUUAAUCCGUUAACAUUGCGACCAUUGGUACAUAAUUGUGAUAAUCCCAUAAAAAAUAUGAAGACCAACUUUUAGAAAAAUUAAAUGUUGAAGGAUGAAAUUAAUAUAUAUAUAUAUAUAUAUAUAUAUAUAUAUAUUAAAAAAUGACUAAAAAAACUACUAGAGUCAACCCAUGUUAACAUUUGAAAUUUGUAAUUGUGAUCUUGAGACCAAGACUACUCACGCAUCAGUCAAACCCAAAAAAACAACAAAGUAAAUUUCUCAAUAAAAAAAUGUUGAGGCAUGAAAAUUUCAAUAAAAAAACAACAUGAAAAAAAUAUGAAUAAACCAGGGUUAACUCGCUAACCUCACGACCAUGGAAACAUGAUCAGGAUAACCCUAAUGAAAAGAAAGUGAUAAAGAAAAGCACAAAGAAUAACACUAAAAAAAAUAAAAGUUGAGGGGUGAAAUUAAAAAAACAAAAAAAACCAAAGUCAACCGUUGUUAACUUUCAAAACUCAUGAUUAUGCUGUUGGGACUGACCAUAUAAAAGGCAAACCCAAAACAAAACAAUAUAGCAAAAUUCUCAGUGAAAAAAAGUUGAGGCUUGAAACUCAGUAAAAAAAAGCAACAAAAAAUAUAUGAGUCAACCCAAGUCACCCAUUUGACUAUGGGCAUGUGAUUUAGAUAAUCUUAUGGAAAGGAAAGCAAAAAAAAAAAAACAAUAAAACCAAUUUUAUAAAAAUUAAAUAUUGAAGAAUAAAAUUAAAAAAAUUAAUUUUAUAAAAAAGACUUGAAGAAACCAAAAUCAACCCGUGCAAACCUUUAAAAGUCAUGAUUCAAUAAUAAUAAAAAAAAAGAAGCUAAGUGAUGAAAUCAUUAAAAAAACAAUAAAAAAAAAUUAUUCAAAACAUAAUAAACAUAAGUAAAAAAAGAAUAGAGAUCAAAUUCAACACUAAAAAAAUAAAAAUCAAAUAAUGAGAAAUAAAAUCAAAACAAUAUCUAAUUAGAUUAAGGAUUAAAAAGUGUCAAAAAAAAGUGUCAAAUUUGAUCUAAAAAUAAAAUAAAGUAAAAUAAUUAGAGAUAAAUAGUAAUAAAUACUAUUUUUAUAAAAUAAAAAGAAAAAAAUAAAAAAAAAAAUAAAAAUCAAAACACAAUAUAUAACAAAAAAAAAGUAAUAUAAAUGUUUAUGUCACAUAACAACCAUUGGUUCCAAACAAAACCUGAAAAUAAAAAAACAAGACACCUGCCGUCAUUAGGUCCGGAUUUGCCUGAAAGGCAGAACUGCACAUGCAUUUUCCAUAGCAUGCCAAAGCCAAAUCAAUCUUACCCAUAGCGAGAAUUAAAACAAAACAAAAUAGUAACAACACCAAAAACAUCCUUUAUUCAUUGUUAAAGGUCUUCUGAAAUAAGAUUGGUUUCAAUGGCAAGUGGAAAUCAUAAAGAGAGCAACGAAAGGACAAAAAUCGAUCAAAAAACCCUUACUGAAAGAAUAAACAACACACCUUCGCCUCGUGUGUUCUCCAUCAAUUUGUUCAAGAGAAAAAGGACAAGAACUGUAGUAUCACCACCUCCAUCCUCUCUCAGUAGCUUCUUCUUCUCCAAUGUGCAUACCUUUUUGGUUCUCACAUGCCUCCUCUCCCUCUUCUGAAUCAUGACUACAAUUGAAGAAAACAACUCUAAUCCCACCUAAGAACAAUGCUCUAAUAUCAAAUUUGAUACGAGACAAAAAAGAUUGAAGUUGAAGAAGAAAGAAAAGAAGAAGAAGCCCGAAAAAGAAGAAAAAGCUGAUCAAAUACUAAAACCAUAACUAGAAUAAAUAAUUAAGUUUAUAAUCCACUAAAUAAAAUACUAAAAAAUAAUUAAAUCAAAUCCAACAAAUAAUAUCUAAUUAAUAAAUUUCAACUAAAAGUUCAAAUAAAUAAAAUUAAAACAUAAGCUAAAGCUUAAUCGCUUAAUGAUUUGGACUACCCUCUAUCAUUUAUGAUUAUAUGAAUACAUGUUUCGAGUCAGUAUCCCCACAUUUUUUUUGUUUUUGGUGGAAACAAAAAGAGGUGCAUAUGUUUUUGUUAGGAAAAAAAUUUCUUGCCCUAAAAUAAGAAAAAAAAGUUGCACCUAGAGGUGAUCAUUUUCGGUUCGGUUCAGUUUUUAUCAAAAAAGUAACCAAAUGUACUACAUACUUUUUACCGAUCGAACCAAAUGUACUAUAUUAUCAGUAGUUGUAGCUACUUCUGAAACAGUUGGUGCGAUGGGUGCGAGUGAAGGUGCUGGCAUAGGAGCGGCAACACUAGUCAUACCUUCCACUACUGCUUUGAGUAGCUGGGCUAGGAGCAUCAAAUCAACAUAAGAAACAAAUGGCCUUCCAAGUGUAGUCUGUGGGGGCUCCUCUGCUCGUUCCGGUAGGGUUGACACGGUCGGCUGAACAUCCCCAGCUUGCCUCGGUACUUGUCUGACUUGAGGCCCCGUCGAUUCUUCAUGCCUUGCUUGCUUCGAUACUGCUGGUGCAUGUCAAGCAGUAUCUUCUAAAAGGCUCUCUUCUCGUCCCUCGUAAAAGUCUAUAUCUCUGUUCCCCUUCCCUAUAGAGGAUAGAUUUGUUCUAAUCUCUUGGCGAGUACGUACCAUCCUGCAAUAAAUUAAUAACAUCAUUACCCUUUGUUUCGAGUUUUUCCCAAAAUCCAUACGAGGGCUCUAAUACCAACUAUAACAAUCCCACCUUUUCAAUUUCGUCAACACUAAAAGAUCCCAAUAUAUACUCUUAAUUUGAGGGUAAAUUGUUUUUUUUCUUAUAUAUAUAUAUAUAUAUAUAUGAAAGUCUACCGAUAUUUUCACUGAAAUUUUGGCAAAGUUCCCUUUGUAUUUAGAACGUCCCAAGUUAUCGACUUCUUUCAAUUUACCCAUUCAAGCCAUCAAAACAAGGUCCCAUAAUUUUGAACUUUAUUUUACAUCAUUAAUACUCAACUCCUCAUACAAUUCAUGCACACAAUUUAUACACACACACACACACACACACACACCCUACGAAUAAGAUCAAUAUAAAUAUAGCCCAUAUAUCGUAUAAUAAAGUCUAGAAGAAAAAGGGAUACUAACAUGUAAUGAGAGAAUUUAAAACAUAACAUCAGUAUUCUUAAAAGUUUCAAAGGGUUAAAAACAAAGUAGCUAAGGAGUUCUUACUCAUACAUUAUAUCAAAGUUUACAUAAUUAACAUACUAUAUGCCGAGCCAAUAGUUUUGUAUACAUCAAGGUUUACACAAAAGCAUAUUGCGUAACCUAGCUAAUACUAUUAUGCUUGAGCUAAAUGUUUUUACAUAAGUUUAGCAAAGCAGAGUCCUAAAAACUAAUGAGCUCCCUGAGUAUUAGAUGGACCUGUUACAAUAACAACUUAAUAAGCAUACAAUUAUAUUGUCAACAGAAACAAAAAUGAUCAUAUAAUGAAUACAAAUAAAGCAUAAGUUUUCUAUUAGUUUCCCAAUAAUUUUAAUAAUCAACUUAUAAAUUCUUUCAUAUAUAUUUAAAAACUCAAUUAGACAUCAUUUACGUAUUCUUAAUUGAAUACUCUUAUUUUCUUGUAUGAACCUAGUACCUUUGCCUAAUUGGUUUUACUAAAUCUUUAACUUUGCAUAGUUCCACUUGGAUAGUUUAGGUAAUUAUACUUAUCAAUUCUCUCAGGUCAUCCAAACAUGGAUACCUUUUCCGAAUCGAGCCUUAUCGAUCAUUCCCAGGCAUCCUGACAUGGACGUCAUUAGCUGAAGCGAAUCUUGUAAUUCACUUCCCAGCAAUCCUAUCACGGAUGCCAUUAGCCUAAGAUAAUCUUGAGAUUCAUUUCCCGACAAUCCUAUUACGAAUGCAAUUAGCCGAAGCUAAUCUUGUAAUUCAUUUCCCGGUAAUCCUAUCAUGGAUGCUAUUAGCCGAAGCUAAUCUUGUUAAUACACCGGACUUUGUUUACAUUAAACAUAACUUAAUUGUCAUUGUCUUCAUCGGGAAGACUUUAAAUUACAUAAGAGUAAAGGAGAGGUAAAACCACGCACCUUCUCCGCCUGUCUCGUGACCUCCUUCAACAAAAGAUCCAAUCCUAGUCGCUCCGCCUAAAUCACAAAGAAGUCUUUGGUCAUGUUUCCUUUAAGCUAAAUGUUUAAGGAAAUCCAUAUUCAUUCAUUAUACAUAUGGUACUUUCCAUGCAUGUUCAUUUCCUCAUCAUAACAUACAUAUACAUAUCAAGUAUAUAUUUUCAAGGUUUUAUAUCAACGUGCAAGUGCCCCUACGACUAAGUUUGUUUUUGCAUCAACGUAAAUUAGUGACUUAUGACUCAUAACUGGAGUCUCAUAACUUUAAAUAAAGCAAACUUUGGUCAAUAAAAAGGUAACACAUUUAUCCAUAAUUUCAUUAAGGAUCAUGCAUGAAACUCUGUCAAUAUCAAAUCACAAACCAAAAAAGAAGUUAGACAGCAAAUUUGUCCAGCAGCUUCUAGCCUAACCUCCUCUCAGUAUUUUGCCUAUAUAUGGAGUUCUAUAACUCCUAAUAAAGUGAACUUUAUACCAAUUAAAAGGUAACACAUUUAUAUAUAACUACAUGGAGGAAAAUGCAUCAUACUCUAUCAAUAUAAAAUCCCAAACCGAACAAGAAGUUAGACAGCAAAUCUGUCCAGCAGCUUCCAGCCUAGCCUCCUCUAAGUAUUUUGCUUAUAUAUGGAGUUCUAUAACUCUAAAUAAAGUGAAAUUUAUGUCAAUUGAAAGGUAACACAUUUAUAAAUAUCCACAUGAAGGAAAAUGCAUGAUACUCUGUCAAUAUCAAAUCCCAAACUAAACAAGAAGUUAGACAGCAAAUCUAUCCAGCAGCUUCCAACCUAACCUUCUCUUAGUAUUUUGCUUGUAUAUGGAGUUUUAUAACUCUAAAUAAAGUGAAAUUUAUGUCAAUUGAAAGGUAAUACAUUUAUAGAUAUCCACAUAAAGGAAAAUGCAUGAUACUCUGUCAAUAUCAAAUCCCAAACUGAACAAGAAGUUAGACAACAAAUCUAUCCAGCAGCUUUCAGCCUAACCUCCACUUAGUAUUUUUCCUGUAUAUAGAGUUCUAUAACUCCAAAUAAAGUGAAAUUUAUGUCAAUUGAAAGGUAACACAUUUAUAGAUAUCCAUAUGAAGGAAAAUGCAUGAUACUCUAUCAAUAUCAAAUCCCAAACUGAACAAGAAGUUAGAUAGAAAAUCUAUCCAGCAGCUUCCAGCCUAACCUCCUUUUAGUAUUUUGCCUGUAUAUGGAGUUCUAUAACUCCAAAUAAAUGAAAUUUAUGUCAAUUGAAAGGUAAGACAUUUAUAGGUAUCCACAUGAAGGAAAAUACAUGAUACCAUGUCAAUAUCAAAUCCCAAACUGAACAAGAAGUUAGACAACAAAUCUAUCCAGUAGCUUCCAGCCUAACCUUGUCUUAGUAUUUUGCCUGUAUAUGGAGUUCUAUAACUCCAAAUAAAGUGAAAUUUAUGUCAAUUGAAAGGUAAUACGUUUAUAGAUAUCCACAUGAAGGAAAAUGCAUGAUACUUUGUCAAUAUCAAAUCCCAAACUGAAUAAAAAGUUAGAUAGAAAAUCUAUCCAGCAGCUUCCAGCCUAACCUCCUCUUAGUAUUUUGCCUGUAUAUGGAGUUCUAUAACUCCAAACAAAGUGAGAUUUAUGUCAAUUGAAAGGUAACACAUUUAUAGAUAUCCACAUGAAGGAAAAUUCAUGAUACUCUGUCAAUAUCAAAUCCCAAACCAAACAAGAAGUUAGACAACAAAUCUGUCCAGCAGCUUAACCUCCUCUCGGUAGUUUGCCUAUAUAUGGAGUUCUAUAAUUCCAAAUGAGGUAAGACCAGUGCCAAAAGUUAGCUAACUCAUUUAUCUACAACUUUCAUAUGUAAUGUUAUAACAAUUUCAAUCGACUUCUAUGCCUAACAUUAGCAUAAUUUCUAUACUUACAUAUUUGUAAUGGAAGUAACAUACAAACAUGUUUAAGUUUCUGUUUCAGCCCUUGAUUUAGCCUUAGGAUAACUAUGUAAGGUCAUAAUUAGCAGAGAUUAGUAUCAAAUUUCUAUUCUCUUUCUUUCUACUUUCAUGGUCGUCCCUAAAGAGGAUUUGUUCCACUAAUUUCUAUCAUUUUCUUUUGUCAUAGAAGCUGAAAAUGUUUAACUUCUCAUCUCAACCUUUUAAUUUCAUCAUUUGUUUUUUUUUUGUCAAAAUCAUGAAGUUCUAGGAACCCUAAAUUAUUUAUAUUGGGGUUUUUUCCCCCUUUGGAUUCAAAACAAAUCAAAUUAACAAUAGAAUAGCAAGGGCUUAUCCUUACCUCACGAUUUUAUCUAAAGAUGGAAGGUGUUUUCUUGAUGGUUUUCUUCUUCUCCUCUUUAUCACUGUUUCAGCCGGCCCUUGUGCCCUCCAAACCUCAAGAUUUUAUGGAUCUACACUUCCUAAUUACUCUCCUCUCUCACGUAGGUUCAUGCAAGGUGUUUUGGGUGAGAAAUGUGUGCAAUAAAAGGGAGCCAAUCUUCUCUCUUCAACUUGUUCUAAUUGAAAGUGAGAGGAAAGGUCAGGAAUUCUUUUUUUUUUUUUAAUGUAUUUAUACUCCCUUAUAUAUGCCUUAGGUCUUGUUUGGUAGUUUGGUCAAAUUUGUUCCUAACAUUACUUUUCUCCUUGUUGUGUGCUUUAGUUCUUCAUUUCACAAUUUGUUUAACAUCUCUCCCUCAUCCUUCCCUUCACACAUUUUAAUCCUUAGACAUUUGUUAGUUUUUAUACCCAUAUUUUUGUAAAAUAUUUGACUUCGUAAUUUAUUUUCUUAUUUUGAAUUCACCCUAUAAGUAUUGAAACAUUUUUAUUUUCUAAAAAUUUCAACUUGGGGUUUACAUAACCUUUAAGAAGAAGUGAAAAGAAAAGGUUGAAGCAGACAUCAUGAUUAUCCAAAAUGCAAUAUUUGAUCCCUGGUCCCAACAACAAAUCCAUAGUUAUCACAAAGAUCUAGUCCAUUUCUUUUGCCUUCCUUCUCUUACUUUUCUAGCUAUUUUUUCCUACUUUCUACUAUCCAUUCUAGAGCUUCAGAUUCUUAUAUUGUACAUAGAAUUUGAGUCUAGUUUUUUAACAGUUCAUAAACCUCGAUCCAUCAUACAAUUUCUCAAGAUGAUGCUGUUAUAAUUUAAAAAAACUAUUUAUAGAAGAUUUAUCUUCAAGGACAAGAGUUGAAUCCUUAAUAGCACAUUUAUACUCCCUACUUUUCAUCUAAAUUUCUUUAACAAGUAAGUCAUAUUUACUUUGUCAUUAUAUUUAUGUCAUCUAGAUUAAUACUAGUUAGAUGGUCUGCGCUAUACCGUGAGCCAACGUUUUAUUUUCAUAAAAAAUAUCAAAAAAAUAUAAGACCCAAGAGCGUUGAGUCUAACUGUAACACUGGAUCUAAAAGCAUUGAGUCUGACUGUAACACUAGAUCUAAAAGUAUUGAGUCUGGUUGCAACACCAAACUCAACAAUAAUAUUUAUAAUAUAAAUAAUAAUAUUUAACUUGUCUGCCUAUAUUGUUAUAUUUUUAAAUCUUUAAAAAAAAAUUAUGAUUUUUCUUCAAUAGUAAUAAUAGUAUUAUUUUAAAUUUAUUAAUAAUAAUGAUAAUAAUAAUAAUAAUAAUUUUUAAUUUUACCUUUUAAAUCAAAUCUAUGGUGGUUUUUCAAUAUUGAUAAUAAUGUUUUUCAAAUUUAUUAAUAAUAUUAAUUAUAAUAAAAAUAAUAACAUUUAUAAUACAAAUAAUAAUAUUUUUAAUAUUAAUACUAUUAAUUAUAAUAAAAAUAAUAAUAUUUAUAACACAAAUAAUAAUAUUUUUAUAAUAAUAUUUUUAAGUAUAAUAAAAAUAACAAUAUUUAUAACACAAAUAAUAAUAUUUAGAAACCUAAAACACAUUAGUGUUGGAACUUGACGCCGGACCCAAGAGAAUUAGAUCCUAACACAGGUCUUAGGAGAAUUGGGUUCUAAAACAAGACCCAUUACCCUUGGAUCCUGAUGCUGGCCCCAAGAGAAUUGGGUUGUAAUGCAAGUGAGUUGGGUCCUAACGCAUGACCCAUCAGCCUUGAGUUUUGAAGCCGAACCCAAGAUAAUUGGGUCCUGAUGCAAUUCCCAAGAGAGUUAGGUCCUGACGUCGGACUGAAGAGAAUUAAGUCCUGACGCAGGACCCACUACUUAUGGGUCCAAACGCUGGAUCCAAGUGUAAACCCCAAUUGAAAAUUAGUCUGAAAAGCAAUUUAAAUGCUUAUAGAAUAGAUUUAUCAGAAGUACCAAAUAAGCAUUAGAACAAACCAUGUAAAAUAAAAAACAGAAAAGUGAAUAAAAUAUUACUAAGAGUGAAUUACCUAGAAAUAAAAUUAUCAAUAUGUAACUAAAUGAAAAUCGAAUUCACCCGGAUAAAAAGUUUAUACAGAGAAAUACUAGGAUCCAAGAAUUUUAUCUCAUGAACAAGAAAUUUACUAUUUAGGAUAUAGAGGGAAUUUGGUAAAAAGUUUAUAUAUAUAUAUAUAUAAGUGUGCAUGUGUGUGGGCAAGAAGAAAAAAGAGAGAAAAAGAAAUAGAGAGAAAUAGGGGAAACUAUCAUUUACAUGUGAGAGAGAAAACAAAAUGAUAAAAACAUAAAAUCUUAAGAGGAGAUCUUGAGGGAACAUUAACCAAACUUAGUGAGCAUUAAUUGGAAGGAAGAAAAACCUAGAAAAAAAGGAGGGAAGUUCAACCAAGAUUAAAGAAAAGAGGAGUUGGAAGCUUGAAUUGGGUAGUGUUUAGAGUCUUAUUAUUUGCUUGGUAGGGCAUUCUAAAGACUUUUAAUUUGAUUUUUAAUGGCUUAAAGUCUUUAAUUGAUUGAAUUUUUGAAAUUUGGAAAGUUAGGGUUCUUGAAUGAAUUUGGAAGAAAUAAAACUUUACUGUAAAUUAUCAUGGGGAAUAAUGUGAAAGUUAGAGUAAAGUAAUUAAAUUAUUGUAGUUGAAGUAAAAAAUUUUGAUAAUUAAAUAGGGCUAGUGGUUAACCAAUGAUGAGAGUUUUUCAAUCUUAUUUUAUGCUACUCUGUUAGUGCUUUAUACUCCAUGAUGUGAAUUGAUGAACAAUGUAGGCAAUAGAACUAUUUUUUUGAAUAUCUCUUUACAACUUCUUAAAUUUCAUGGAGAUGUCUGAUGAGGAAUAUAGUUGAUUGUUGGUCCUUAUUAGAUUUUGUAUGUAAUGGAGUUAUGAGACGUUAAUAAUUCAUUAGAGAUGUUAAUUUGAUGGCUAAAAUCCAUGAAAUUCAACGGGACUAUUACAAAAGGUGAGAUAUUUAAGACAGUAACAAAUCAAACAUUAACAGUUGAGGUUUAAGACAGUAACAGAUCAAAUAGUAACGGUUGAGGUCUAAGACAGUAACAGAUCAAAUAGUAAUAGUUGAGGUCUAAAACAGUAACAGAUCAAACAUUAACAGUUGAGGUCUAAGACAGUAACAGAUCAAAUAGUAAUAGUUGAGAUCUAAAACAGUAACAGAUCAAGCAAUAACAGUUGAGGUGUAAGACAGUAACAGAUCAAGUAGUAAUGGUUGAGGUCUAAGACAGUAACAGAUCAAACAUAUAUAUAUAUAUAUAUAUAUAUAUAUAUAUAUAUAUAUAUAUAUAUAUAUAUGAGAACUGAGUUGUGUGGACACUUGCACGUUGAGAUACUGACUCUGAAAAUAUAUAUGAUAUGUGUAUAUAUGUUAUGAUGAAGAAAUAAACAUGCAUAAAAAGUAACAUAUGUGUAAUGAAUGAAUAUGGAUUCAGGAGGAGUGACCAUGAUUGGAUCUUCUGUUGGGGGAGGUCACGAGACAGGCGAAGCAGGUGCGUGAUUUUCCCUCCUCUUUGCACUUAUGCAAUUUAAAUAUAUUUUUUUGGUGAAUGCAAUUACAAUAAAUGUCAUGUUCAAUGUAAAUAAAAUCUAGCAUAUUUACAAAAUUAGCUUCGGCUAAUAGCAUCUGUGAUAGAAUUGCUAGGAGAUGAACUACAAGAUUAACUUUGACUAAUGUUGUCCGCGUUGGGACGCCCGAGAACGAUUGAUAAGACUCGAUUUGUAAAGGGUAUCCGUGUUUGAAUGAUCUAGGGGAAAUUGAUAAAUAUAAUUGCCUAAAAAUGUCUAAGUUGGACUAUACAAAGUCACCCGGUUCAUGCAAGUAAAUAAGAGUAUUUAAAUUAAGGAUAUGCAAAUGAGUUUUAAUUGGGUUUAAAUGAUUUACAAGCAAAUUAUAAGUUGAUUGUUAGAAUUCCUAUGGAUUCGAUAGAAAAUUUAUACUUCAUUCGUAUACAUUACAUGAUCAUAUAUAUUUCUUUUAUCAACAUAAUGGUAUGCUUACUUAGUUGUUUGUGUAACAUGUCCAUCAACUGUCCAGGGAGAUCAUUAGUUUGGGACUCCACUUUGUUAAGCUUAUGUAAAUAUUUAACUUAAGCAUAAGGGAAUUAACAUGAUUAUACAAUAUGUUUUUGUGUAAAUCUUGAUGUAUAUAUAAAAGUCUUAGCUCAACAUAUAGUACAUUAGUUAUCUUGUAAUUAACUCUUUUGAAAUGUUUAAAAAUACUUAUUAUAUUUUAAAUUUUCUCUUUACAUGUUAGUAUCCCUUUUUCCUUUUAAAUAUUAUAAUAUGAUUUGUGGGAUAUAUAUAUAUAUAUAUAUAUAUAUAUAUAUAUAUAUAUAUAUAUAUAUAUAUAUAUAUAUAUUGUGUGGAUUGUAUGAGGUGUUGAAUAUUGAUGAUUGAAAUAAAGUCUGAAAUUAUAGGACCUUAUGAUGAUGGGUUGAUUGAGUAAAUUGAUAGUAGUCGAUAACUUGGGAUAUCCUAAAUACAAACGAAACUCUACCAAAAUUUUGGUAGAAAUCUUUACAAAAACAAUUACCCUCAAAUUAAGAGCAUAUGAUGGGGUCUUUUAGCGUUGAUCAAAUUGUACAGUUGAGUCUGUUACAGUUGGUAUUAGAGCCCUGGUAUGGAUUCUAGGAAGAAUUCAAAAGAGGUUAUUGAUGUUUGUUAAUUUAUUGCAGGAUGGUACGUACCCACCAAGAGAUUAGAUCAGAUCUAUCUUCAACAGGGAGGGGGAAUAAAGAUAUAGACUUUUACGUUGGGCAAGAAGAGAACCUUUUGAAAGAUACUGCUUCACAUGCACCAGCAGUAUCGACUAAAGCAGGGCAUGAAGAAUCGAUGGGGCCUCAAGUCCGACAGGCACCAAGACAAAGGACCCAUUAGCCUUGGAUCCUAAUGCCGAACUUAAGAGAAUUAGGUUCUGAUAGAGGACCCAUUACAUUUGGGUCCUAACGUCAGAUCCAAGAAAAUUGAGUGUUGACGCAAGACCCAUUAGCUUUGGAUCUUGACACUGAACCAAAGAGAAUUGAGUUCUGACACGGGACCCAUUAGCUUAUGGUUCUAAUGCAGGACUCAAGAGAGUUUGAUCCUAACACCAAAUCCAAGAGAAUUGGGUGUUAACGCCGAAUCCAAGAGAAUUGGGUUAUGACACAGGACUCAUUAGCUUGGGUCUGGACACGGAUACAUUACCAAUGGGUCUAGACGCCGGACACAACAACCUUUGGUACGAUACGAACCCCAGAGUGGGCUAGAUAGGGCUGCAAGACCCAAGUGAUUUGGGUCUGCUCUUUUGCCAAACCCAAGUAACUUGGGUGAGGCACCCCUUUCCAGCCCCAGGAUUUUUAGGUCUGGAAAGGGAUGCCUAACCCAAGUUAAUAACAAUAAUAUUAUAUUUUACCUUUAAAAUCAAAUUUAUGUUUUUUUAUAGUAAUAAUAUUUAUUUUAAUUUUAAUAAUAUUAAUUAAUUGAAUAAUAUUUAUAAUAAUAUUUAACUUAUCUGUCAAAGUUCUUAUAUUUUUUAAUCUCUUAAAAAAAACAUUAUAGUUUUUUUUCGAUGAUAAUAAUAUUUUUUUAAAAUUUACUAAUGAUAACAACAACAACAACAAUAAUAUUUAAUUUUACAUUUUAAAUCAAAUCUAUUAUUAUUUUUUAAUAAUAGUUUUUAUAAAUUUAUUAAUUAUUAUAUUAAUAAUAAUCAAAAUAAUAAGAUGUUAUGUGGGAGGGUCUGCACCCAUCACGGUUCUGGAGACCCAGGUAAUAUCACAUUAAUAGUGAAAGAUCUACUCAACCAUGAUUUUAAAAGUUUUCCUUGACGAACAUGCGACGUUUUUUAGCCAAGAAAAUACGAUGUCGUAGGGCAAUCUUUAAAAAUUAUUUUUAUUUAAUUCUGUGGUAAUUAAGAUAAAUACGUGUAGGAAUUCUGAUAAUUUAAAUUAUGGAGAAUAAACUUAUUCAUUGUUCAAUAAACACUGUGAUUUGUGAGUGUAUGCACAGUGUUGUUUUAUGUACAGAAAGAAAAGGGAGCCAUGUUUUAGUUUAUAGUGUUAGUGUUACUAUUUCAUGAGAAGCUAAUCCUGUAUUAGUUUUUGGUAGUUCAGAAAUUAAUGUGAUUUACUUAGCUAAUCCAGUUCCCAUGAGAAGCAAAAGAUCCUGUAUAAAGUUUUCUAUAAUGACAUUUUGUAUUUAAUUUUUUUGUUUUAAAAGAAGUUAAAUUUUUAUAAUUUUUUUCAAAAUAAUUUUUUAUUUUUUUAUAUUAUUUGAAUAUGCUGAUUUUAAAACUAAAUUCUAAAUAAUAAUAAAAAAUUAUUUAAAUAUAUUUUUAAAAAACAACUGAAUUUUUGCAGAAAACCCAGCUAUAAAUUAACAUCUUUAGCCCGUGACGGUAACCGGCAGUUCUACCCAUGACGGUGGCGGUGAGUCCUCCCAAUUGUACAUGUCGGAUCCUUCUUGCCCGGGACGGUGAUGGGCAAUCCCGCCUGUCAUUUCAGUGUGGCCCCAGGUGAAAUGAUUUUAAAAUAUAAAAAAAUUAGCUUUUAAUAAUUAAAUAAUUUUAAUUUAAAUUGAGGAAAAAAGACUUCUUAACAAAAUAAAACUUACGAUAUUACAGUAACAAACAUGCUAAAAAACAUCUUCUUUUUCAAAGCAUGCAACUACAGGACCAGCCAUAUUAAGCUGCUUGUGAUAUUACUCCUCAUACAACCAAAUCAAUCCAUAACCUACGAGAUUUAUUGCAACUCUUGCUUACUUUUCAAUUCCAUAACCUAUGCUUGCUUUCAAAUAUAUAUAUAUACUAACUUUGAACGACAAACAUGUUUGUAAAUUAAGAGUGAAAGGAAAGUUGAAAAUCACAGGGAGAGCCUUAUAUAUAUAUAUAUAUAUUACUCCUCAUAGAAUUUCAUGAAGCAUUGAGGUUCUGGGCGAGAAGUUGACCACUCCUGAUAUUCUGGGCUUCUUCAAAAGCCACAAGCUCAAUGAUCGAUGGUCUUCUGGGAAAGUUGAAAGAAACACUGAAUACCCUCAACGGACUUCUCGACGACGCGGAGGAGAAGUAGAUUACCAAGCCUGCUGUGCAGAAGUGGCUUAAUGAUGCUAGACAUGCUGUGUAUGAAGCUGAGGACUUAAUGGAGGUGAUUGAAUAUCAACAUCUACGAUCCAAGGAUAUUAAAGCUGCCUCUCGACGAGUUAGGAAUCGGGUAAGCAUAUGGUUUUGCUCUUGUAGACCUUGCUUUCUCGUAUAAUGUUAUUAUCGAUCCCUCUGAUUUUUACAAGCACAAUUCGAAAUUGUAAGAUAUCAGAAAAUUUCAUAUCUUUUCUUGAAAUAUUUCAUGCAAACAACACCCCUCAAUUAUGCUAAUUUAUCUCAUGCAACCAAUCCUAUGAUACUAUCCUGCAACCACUACUCAUUAUUAUUCCAACAAAUUCCAACCACUUUUUAAUAGCCCAGCCUGGCCAAGCUGUCAACUUAAUUAAAACAUGUUCAAUCUAGAAUUUGAAUUAAAUUGUUUUUUUUAAAACAAAAAUCAAAGUUGACCCAUUAAUUUUUAAAAAAACAUUAGCACUAAAUGUUAAAUAUUGGUGUCAUAACACCUUUGAAAAAAAAAUUAGUGGAAUAGCUUAUUUUCACAUUUUUAAUAGCAAUAUUUAGUAAAUAUUAUUUUUUUGAAGUGCAACAAAGUGAAAGUCCAAUUAUUUGACUUAAUUAGUUAGUUGAUUGAAUUUAAUUGUAUUAACUAGUCGAUUAUUUCACAUAAAAACCAUAAUUUUAUGAAUUUUUUCUUUCAAAUAUAAAUUAUGAGUCAAAAUAUACAUGUGUCUAACAUCUAGACUAAAAAAUAGAUUUCAAUUAAAGUUUUAAAAAAAUUAUUAUUUACAUAGUAGUUGUUAUCUAUUUUUCAAUGUCAAUUAAUGAUGUAGAAAAGCUUGUGACAGUAAGUGAUUCUAAGUUGUCAGAUGUUUGUUUAUCAUAACUAUAUAAGGAUUGUCCUAAAUAAAUUAAAUGUAUGACCUAACAAAUAUAUUUAUAGACCAAUAAAAUAGUUUGAAGCUUAAGAGGAGAUUUGAUCCCACAAAGCCAGAAUAAUAAGAAAAAAAACCAUAAUUUUUUAUUUGACUAUUGAAUUGCACUCAAAUUUUUAUAGGAGUUUUUAAAAACCACAUUCUCUAUUGUAGUCACUGCAUUGCUAUGUAGACUGUUAAAUCUUUAGAUAUAAAAAAUCUCGUCAAAACCCCUUGAUUUUGGUAUUUUUAAGAUUUUUAUUAUUAUUUUCGGAAUUAAUUGACUAAUUUCAUUAACUAUUAUGAACAAGUCAAUUAAUUAAGUCAAAUGAUUAAAAUUUUACCUUAUCAGAACCUUAUUAGAAACAUAACAUUUAUUAAAUGUCACUAUUCGAAAAAACGACAAUUAUUUUGUGAUGCUUAGGAAUAGUAACAUUUAAUAAAGUUUCCAUUUCUAAAUCCAGCUAGUAGAAGGAUGAAAGAGAUGGGAGCAGAGUUACAAAAGAUCCAUGAGAAGCUUGAACGUUUUACUUAUACACAAGGGUGAUCUGCGCCAUAUAGAAGUUACUGGUGGACGCAGACCAUUGUCAGAGAAAACAACUCCACUGGUUAAUGAAUCUAAUGUAUAUGGAAGGGACGCUGAUAAGGAAGCCAUAAUGGAGCACUUGUUGACACAACACACCACAGAUGGCUCAAAUUUACGUGCGGUCCCUAUUGUGGGCAUGGGCGGGAUUGGUAAAACCACUCUUGCUCUGCUUAUCUACAAAGACGAAAGGGUACAGCAACGCUUCCAACUCAAGGCCUGGGUCUGGGCUUCUCAACAAUUUGAUGUUGCCAGGAUUAUUAAGGAUAUUCUUGAUCAACGCAAGAACUUGCCGCACCAAAGAACCAGAUGAAUCUCUAAUGGAGGCAGCGAAAGGGAAAAAACUUCUUCUUGUUCUAGAUGACGCGUGGAACAUCGAGUACAAUGAAUGGGAUAAACUACUGCUACCUUUGCGGUAUGUGGAGCAAGGAAGUAAGAUUGUCGUGACAACACGGGAUCAAGAUGUAGCAAAAGUCACGCAAACUGUCAUCACCCCUCACUGCUUGAAAGGAAUAAGCGAUGAAUAUUGCUGGAAGUUGUUUGCAAGGGAUGCAUUUAGUGGUCUAAAUUCUGAAGCAGUCUCACACUUGGAAGCAUUUGGCAGAAAAAUAGUGAGAAAGUGCAAAUGUUUGCCGCUGGCAGCGAAAACUCUUGGUGGUCUUUUGCACUCCGUAGAAGAUGUCAAGCAAUGGGAGAAGAUAUCCAAUAGCAGUUUGUGGGGUUCGUCGAAUGAAAACAUCCCUCCAGCUUUAAAAUUGAGCUAUUAUUAUCUCCCUUCACACCUGAAACGUUGUUUUGCUUAUUGUGCAAUAUUUCUCAAAGGUUAUGUAUUCAAGAAGGAUGGAUUAAUCACUGAAUGGAUGGCACAUGGUUUUUUAUUCCAGCCAGAGGUGUUGAGGAGAUGGAAGAUAUAGGUGAAAAAUACUUUGAUGAUCUUGUCUCCAGGUCAUUUUUCCGGCAAUCACUUUAUGCUCCAUCAUAUUUCAGCAUGCAUGACAUCAUAAGUGAUUUAGUUGAAUACGUGUCAGGAGAAUUUUGCUUUAAGCUUGGUAUUAAUGAAUCGGGAUCUGGGUUGGAGGGUGAACAUUCAUGCUCGCUUCCAGAAAGGACUCGUUAUUUAUCAAUCACUUCAGCGGCAGUUCGGACAUUUCGUAGCAUUCAUGGAGUCCAACAUUUGCGCGCCUUGUUUCCACUAUAUAUUUUCGGGGAAGAUGAUAGUGAGGCACUGAAUGACAUCUGGCUAAAUCUUAAGCGCUUGCGAAGGCUAUCUUUAUGUCAUCUAAAAGAUAUUUCUUCUCAGUUGCUCAAUUCCAUUGGCAACUUAAAACAUUUGCGGCACUUGGACCUUUCUCGCACCGCCAUUAAAAGGUUACCUAAAAGUGUGUGCACUUUGUACUAUUUGCAAAGCUUAUUGUUAAAGAAGAGCCGACAUCUCAUGCAGUUGCCAUCCAACCUUUUCAACUUGGUCGCCUUACAACAUCUUGAUAUUGAGGGGACAAAUCUGAAAAAGAUGCCACCGAAAAUGGGGAAACUCACAAGGCUUCGAACUUUGCAAUAUUACGUAGUGGGAAAAGAGAGGGGGUCUAGCAUGAAAGAGCUGGGGAAGCUCUCACAUUUAAGGAAAAAACUUUCUAUUCGGAAUCUCAGAGAUGUUGCAAAUGCUCAAGAUGCUUUGGAUGCCAAUUUGAAGGGUAAGAAGAAGAUUGAGGAGUUGAGGUUGAUAUGGGAUGGCAAUACAGAUGACACCCAACAGGAGAGAGAAGUACUUGAGAAAUUGGAGCCUUCUGAAAUUGUGAAACAGCUUGCCAUUAAGGGUUACGGGGGUACAAUGUUUCCAGACUGGCUUGGAAACUCUUCUUUCUUAAAUAUGGUAGCGUUGACUCUUUCUGGAUGUAAGAACUGCAUCUCCUUACCACCAUUGGGGCAGCUGCCAUCUCUUGAAGAGCUCCAUAUUGAAGGAUUUGAUGAUGUCGUGGCAGUUAGUUCUGAGUUCUAUGGAAGCGACCCUUCGAUGGAGAAGCCAUUUAAAUCCCUCAAAAUAUUAAAGUUUGAGGGGAUGCGAAACUGGCAGGAAUGGAAAACAGAUGUAGCUGGUGCUUUCCCUCAUCUUGCAAAUCUCUUGAUAGCAGGUUGUCCCGAGUUAACAAAUGGCUUGCCUAAUUACCUUCCUUCUUUAUUGAUACUUGAGAUUCAAGCGUGUCCACAGCUUGUGGUUUCAAUUCCAGAGGCUCCCCUGCUCACCGAAAUCAAUGUAAAAGUCACUAAAACUUUCAUCCCCUCUCACCGCUGGAAUGCACUAAGCGAUGAAGAUUGCUAGCAGGUUCUUCUUGCAAGGUAUGCAUUUUAGGGAGAGGAUAUCCAAUAGCAGUAUGUUACUAAAAAAAUAUUUUUAAACUGUAUAUAUAUAUUUUUUAAAAUACACUAGGUAUAUUAAGUUUGUAAAGCAAUGGGAGGAGAUAUAUUAAGUUACUAAAACAAGGUGUUUAUCAUUUUGUUUGGUUGUCCAUAAGGUUUUGUUACGCAACUAUAUAAAAAUAAAAAUCAUAAUUUGUCGACAUUACGGCACAGAAUUGUGAAAUUCAUCCUCUCUUGCCAUCGAAACCUGAGAGUGUUUUGACUUUUGGAGUGGAGGGCAGAAAUAAAAUUGUAGUUAUAUUAAGUUAUAAAAAAAAUAGUUUUAAACUGUAUUUAAAAAAAAUACAUUAGGUAUAUUAAGUUACUAAAUUUUUUUAUUAAACUGUAUUUUUUUUUAAAAUACAUUAGGUAUAUUAAGUUUGUCAAGCAAUGAGAGAAGAUAUAUUAAGUUACUAAAAAAAUAUGUUUAUCACUUUAUUUUUAUUUCUCGUAAAAGUCGGUUACGCAAUCGAAUCGGGGAUGAUUGGUUGAAUGAUUGUUUGGUUACUUAUAUCGAAAAAAAUAUAUUUGAAAGUGUUGAUAAUGGAAAGAUUCUAUAACGUUUUCAGCAUAUGAAGUCUUGCAGGGAUUUCACGGAGCAUCUUUUUAUAAUAUAUGUGAAUUUUUAAAUUUUAUAUUAGAAGCUUAAAAUUUUUAGAUUUUUUAGAUCUUAAUUAAUUUAGUUAUAUUAUUUUGCUAUCUAUGAAAACUCGAUCUGGAUCCGUCCUUUAUCAAAUGAAGUAUAUAUCAUGUUGAAACCGGUAAUGAGUUUCGAUUGAUAGAAGAAUCAGGAAAAAAAAAUUAAAAUAGAUGUGCUUUGAGAGUGAUAAAAUAAUUUCAAGGAAUCAUAGUAAAAUAACUUAUAUGGUUCUAGCAAUAUUGAAAAAGAAAAUUUGGAUUUAGACAUAAAAUUAUAUAUUGACUAGUUUUACGCUAUUGAGCAUGACUCUCAAUUCGAUCUUUCGAUUGAGUUGAAAGUCCACAAGAAGACUUCUGAUAUAUUGCUCUAUCUUGGGUUAAAAGUUUAGGGUAGGCCAUCAUAGAAUAUCAACAGUCGAACUAAAAAUAACAUGUAGAUUCAUUAAUGAUAUUUUCAUAAAUAAGCUAGAAAAACUAAAAAUUUAGUUUCUUCUUCCCCUCUAAACUACCGGCUAGUGCUAAAACAACUAUAAUAGAAAAAACAAAUUGAGAGCUUACUCAUUGGAACCCUUGAAUCAAGAUUUAAGGCAAGAUAGGUGAGGGAAUAAAUAUUAAACACAUCUCGACUAAGUGCCAUCCUAUAAAUUUGUUUUCAAUUUGCAUUUGAUGAAAAAUAUACAAGGAAUCAUAAAUGAAUUAACUUAAGCAUUGCGAAGGAAAUAUCAAGAUAUCAUAAAUGUGUUGACAAGUUAAAAAGUUUUGAAACAACAAAUUUAAAUGAUAAGGGAUGAAGGAUGAAAAUAUUUAGUUGAUGAGAUUUUUUUUUGGUGUGAAAGACAUAGCAUUGAUAUUUCAAAAAUAAAUGAUGUGUUUGUCAUUUGCAGCCGAUCAAGGUGUAAUACCCAACAAUUAAUAAACUUGUAUCAUUAACAGGCCGAGCUGUUCUAUACAACAAUUGACAUGCAACUUCACGAGCUUAACAAUUGUUUUAUCAAGAUACACAUGGAGUUGCUUCCUUGCAUUGCAUGUUUGAAACUCAAUCUCUAUAAUAUUAUAAAUAGGUUAGCAUUGCAAUAACAAAAAAAAAAUAUGAUAACCAUGACAAUAAUAAUAAUAAUAAUAUGAAUAUGUAUAUUUUUAUUAGUUGAUGGAUCAAUUUGAAAGCAUCAAAGUACUUUUUUGUAAAAAUAAACUAAUAAAUGGUACACCCGAGGCAAAAUUAUAGCCAAUAUAGCUUGUUGGCCAAGGGAAAGUGUCACGGGGGUAUUUUUCGCUACGCGAAUAAACCCGUGCGGCAGCCUAGUCCUUCGCUAGACUCAGCCUUCCCUCACCAAUCUCACUCGUGUUUGCCUAAUAACUAAGCAAGCGGAAUACACAAGCAAGGAUAAGAAUCAUAGUGCACAACAAGCUUUACAGGAACUCUUUCCCAACCUUUAUUAAUCUCAUACACAAAGGAAACUAUACACAAAUCCGUAUGUGUGCUAUGCACAAAGAUUACAUGCUACACUAAGCUACCUCUAACUAGUGUUCUACACAUGUUCUUGCAUGCCCCUACAUGCUGGACAUUCCCAACCGAAUGCCCUUACAAUCUGAACAUUCCCACCUGAAUGCUCUCCCACAACCAAGAGCUACAUCUUGUAUUUAUAGACAAGCAAAGGAGCUGCAAAGGCUCCUCCCCAUUAUCCCCCAUUUUCAGGACCUAGUGGAGCACUACCUCUCUCCCAUGAUCCCAUGUUUUCAGGACAUGGUGGAGCACUACCUCUCACCCAUGAUCCCAUGUUCUGCCUCCCAUGAAGCUGCCACUCUCCUUAUUUUCUGGCUGUCUACUUGGCAGCCCCAGCUGCCAGCUUCUGCUGCGUCAGCUGCUGACUUAGAAGGUCCAUCAUCUAAGCCCCCACGUCCAUGUCAAGUCGCAAGCUCAAAGACUCGCAUAGACCAUUGCAUGCUGCCUGCCGAAUUCAUCUCUGCCUAUGCAAGGCUGCCGCGAUCCAUCGCUGCCGAAUUCUAAGCAGAGUGCCUUCGUUGGCGCGUCCCAGCGCCUAGAGCUCUUAGCCCAUGCCUUGGACAGUCCUUCGCCCAAGUUUUAGAUCGUGCCAAGUCGAGCCCCUGACUUGCACAAGUUUGCUGCGCGCUGCCGAGUCCGCAUCUGCAGGCAAGCUGCCAAUGCGCUGCCGAAUUCGCAUAUGCGUGCUGCCAAUCUCUGCGCUGCCGAAUUCGCAUCUGCGUGCAGGCUGCCCCUGUCUACGCUGCCGAAUUCUGCGAUAGUCCCAAUUCUCGUCAGCCUAUCCUCCUGACGAGGCUUGGACAGUCCCUCGUCCAGCCCAUGUUCGUCAACAAUCUGCGCUGCCGAUUUUCCCUUUGACGAACCUACAGCCGCAUAAAUCUGCGCUGACGAUUUCUCCCACUGAUGGCAUGGCUGCCAGCACCCUUCGGCCUUGUUUUGGCCAGCCUGCCGAAGCGUGCACCUCGUGCACAUUUGACACUGUGACAGAAAGAGUCUUUUCGUUUGUAGUUUUGGAGUAGCAAAUAAUGGCUUAUGAUAAGCAAACGUUGAUUCAUCUUGCUUAAUUCUAUCUAUCUAUUUUCUUCAUAGUUGAGCUUGCAGCACUUAUAAUCAACUGGAAACUUAUAUUCUUGACAUGAGAUCCUGUGAAGAAUUUCCAAAGCUAAAAGAAAUCAAUUAUUCUGCUAAAAAAUUGGUAAAGACAAACUAUUUCAUUAGAAAAUAAAAUAUUUUCAGCGAUGAAAUUGAUUAAAAAUUGAUUACGCAAUCGAAUCAGAGAUGAUUAAUUAAAUGAUUGUUUGAUUAUGAUUACUUAUAUCGAAAAAGAUAUAUUGAGAAGUGAUAAUAAUAAGAAAAUCCUAUAUUUCAACAUAUAAAAUCUUGCAAGGAACAAUUAUAAAUUAUAUAAAAAAGAAUUUCAUGAAUCAUCUUUAUAUAUAUAUAUAUUACAAAUUUAUAAUUUUAAGAUUUUUUAAAUCUUAAUUAAUUUAAUUAUAUACUUAUAUUAUUUUAUACGUUAAAACUGGAGUCCAUCCUUCAUCUUAAUGGCAUAGAUGAAAUAUCUUAUUUAUGCCCAUUUGAAGAUAAUUAAUCCAGACUUAAUCCACUUGAUGAUGCCUUAAUCAUGCUGAUAAAAAAAGAUUAAUACAUUAAGCACAAGUGUUGAUAUAAUCAGUGGCAGAGCCCCGGGGCUGGCAGGACCCGGCCUUGUAAGAAAAUGUUCUUGUCAAUAUUUUUUUAAUAAUAUUUAUAGUUUCAGCUCAAAUAAUAAAAUAACUGAAAUCUUUGCCUUCUAAAAUAUUUUUUUUAAUUUUAUUUUGUGACCCAGCCCUAAAUAUAAUAUAAAUAAUUUAAUAUUGUUAGGAAGUUUUAAACCGGCUUCCAUGAAUUUAAUAUUGCCUAUCAUUUCAGCGUGUCCCGAGGUGAAAACAUUUGGCCUUUUUUUUUAAUUACUGAAAACUUAACAUGUCAUGUGCUAAAUUCUUUUUUUUAUUAUUUACGUGGGGUGUCCGGGCCAGCUUACGCGCACCACGACUAUUCCCCACAGCCCGCUGGACAUCCUGCAAGCCCAGGAGCAGGUAAGGCACCGCGGAGGUGACAGGCGUGCACAUAGAGGGUCGAACCCGGGACGGGAGCGGAACAAGUCACACGAUUGACCACAACAGCUAGACCCUCAAGUGCAUCAUGUGCUAAAUUCUUGAAGAACCCAGUGAAUGCCAAAAUUAAAGAUUCAUUUUGAAAAUUAAUUUGAAAUAAAAAUGAAAAAAUAUAAUUUUUUUUCAAAAAUACUUUUACAUCCAGAAACAAAAAUGACCUUAUGUAAGGGACAUGCACGUAUCCACUUAGAUAUAAAACCCCAGCCAAGAAACCAAAGAAGAGAAGUAGAGAACGGUAGCUCAGGGGAGCGUUUGGCAUGGAAAAAUGAAAGGGCACGGUCGUAUAUAUUCUUUGGAUUUCCACAUUGGUAAUAUAUACAUGAAUUUGUUUUUAUAUUAAGAAUUAUGUUUUAUGAUUGUUUUAAAUAAAAUUUGCUUUAAAUUAAUAUUGUUUUAGUAUUGUUAAAUUAUUUUAAUGUAAUAAUAUAAAAAAUAAUUUUUUAUUUUUUUAAAUAAAAAAUAAUUAUUACCAUACUCACCAUCAAAACUUAACAAGUACGGUAGGUAUGCAUCAAAGAAAAACCAAAGGACGGUAGGUAUGCAUCAAUGCCAUAAAUAGAGUUUGUCUUGUUCAGAAGACUUUGAAAGUGGCUUCGUUGACUCUGCAGACACGAAGAAUAGUCAAAAGUCCUAAAAUUAACUCAUCUUUGCUAUCCACGGCGGCGCAUCAUUAGUGGGUUUGGAAAUUAACAUGGUGCUUCCGAUGAGCCAAGCUAUGUGUUCACAGUGAUUAAUUCGAAUGUGUAAGCAAUAUCGUUGCUAUCACCAUUUGCUUUGAAGGGCUAUUUAAAAAUAUAAUAGUAGUUAUUUCUUUAAAAUAUAUAUUAAAUAUAUAUAUUUUUUUAUUUUUUAAAAAUUAUUUUUGAUAUUAAUACAUCAAAUCAAAACAAAACAAAAAAUAUAAAAAAAUUAAUAUAAAAAAUUUAAUUUUAAAAAAACAUGAUUUUAAAUGCGAUCCCAUACAAUAGAUUAGAUAGAAAAAAAAAGGAAACUGGAAAAAAAACAUUAAUUAAAAUGAUAAAUAGAUAUAAAUAAAUUAUUUUUUCUUCAAAUUAGAAUCGUUAUUUUCUAUACACUAUUGUCGCUAAAAUUAUAAAAUCAUUUUAUAAUUUAUAAUCAUUUUCUAUAUAUUAUUGUUGCUUUUUUUCAUAUAUAUAUAUAUAUAUAAUCCUCACUAUGAAAUUCUGAAAGAGAGAACGGCGGCUAAAAGCAACAACAUUUUAGCUAGAUAAAUAAAGUUUAAUGACUUGAUAUGUUCUUAUAUUAUAAAAUAUUUCUUUGAUCUAUUUCUAUAUAUCUAAUUAAGUUAAUUUUAUUCUUUAAUAUAUAUUAAAUUUAUAAUUUAUCAUUCUUCUCAUGUAAACUCACUCCAAUUUGUCAUGUGUCUGUUACAUGCAAAACUAGAAGAUUAUAUUUAAAAUUUAACAUAUAUUUUAAAUAAAAUUGACUUAAAUAAAGAUAUAAUAGGUCAAUGAUAGAUAAAUAGCCCACUAUCGAAGGAUAUACUACGUUACUAAAAAAAAACCUGUUUAUCAAUUUGUGUGGUUGUCCACUAGGUUUUGUUCUCUCCAUUGAUAUUAAUUAUCAUCAGUAUCUGAAUGGCAUAGCAUAGGUUAAAAACUUAUUAUUAAUAUUUUAUGGAUGUACACAAGAAGAUAAUUAAUCCAUAAUAAUUUUUACGGUUUAACUGUCUAUAUAUUUUUAAAUUUUAUUAUUCGAUUAACAAAUUUAUUUAUACAUACCGCUUCCACGAGUUUUCUUGUCUCUUCCUUUCCUUUAAAGUCCCCGAAUUCCCAUCAUGGCUUAUUAGCUUUCUACUACUAUCAUUCUCUCUCUCACCCUUUCGCAAAAAUCGACAACUUCAUGACUCAGAAAUCUUGACCCCAUCUCCUAACAAUUCAUAGACAGGUAGGGUUCAGCAUUGCACCAUUCUUUUCAAGAACUGGUGGGAUGUCACAGAUUUCAAAUAGAUGGUAGGAAUGGACCUCUCGAUGAUAAGUAGGGCCCAAAUUGCCGCCCAAAGGCCAUUGUAGAUUCACGUUCAGAGAACAUCAGAUGCGAUGCUUAGCCGACAGUAGAGAAGAAUGAUUACUUCUGAAGAGAAUAUCAUUACAAAAUGAUCCCCGGCAAACAGUCAGGGAUGCCAGCACGGCCGGCUUACAUUGUUAAGCUUGUAACAAUCUAUAAUCAACUCGAAACUUAUAUUCUUAACCUGAGAUCUUGUGAAGAAUUUCCAAAGAUAAAAAGGAAUCAAUGAUCUUGCUCAGAAAUUAGUGGAGGCCAAGAAGGUUGUGGUUAGUAAUUUUACCUCGUGUGAAUAUAAUAUAAAUAAUUUAAUAUUGUUAGGAAGUUUAAAACCGGCUUCCAUGAAUCUUCUUGUCUUUUCUUUUCCUUUAAAAGUCUAUAUGGUUGUUCUCUUAAUGCAAUUCAUUGGAUUCUGCUUUCUACGGCCUUCUCUCUCACACCGUCCGCGAAGAUCCACCAUGGCUUCUGCUAUUGUCCUUUUUUUUUCUCUCCCGUCCUUUUGAUACUGUCGUCCUUCCGCAAAAAUCCACCAUGGCUCUGGGGUUGAGUAGAGGUUAAUUAUCUGUGCUGUCAUUGAGGUUUUGGUCGACAGGCUGUCCUCUCCUGAGGUUCUAGGCUUUUUCAAAAGACAAGCUCAAUCAAUGGAAAAGUUGAAGUUAAACAUUAAAUUAUUCUCCUUUUUUAUUUUUUUUCACAAGUAUUUAACCGUUCAAUUUGUAAGAACAUCAGUCUUUUUUAUAAGCCAACAAUUACACUUUUUAAAUUUGCUAUUAUAAUAAUUAUUUAUUUAUGUGAUAAUUUCACCAAUGUUUUUUUGGCCUUGUACCAAAUACCUUCUAAGAGUAAUACCAGAUGAAAUUUUUUAAAAUAUUUUUGAACCUCAUAGUUUCAUAUAUCUAUAUUUUAACCGUUAACUUCAUUUCUCACACGUUUCACUCUUUGACUAUUGAGUUUUGAUCCUUGCAAUUCUCAUAAAAGUACAUUUUGGUUCCUUAAGUUUUUAUUUUUAUUUUUGAUCCUUAUAAUUUCAGGUAUUUAUAUUUAAUUCUAAAAUUUUAUUUUCCUUACAUUUCAAUUCCUUUAUGUUGCGAUUAUAGAGAGAAAGUCGCUAGAAAAAAGAGAGGAAAGAGAAGUAUUUUGGUGAGUUGUAUUUCAAGAACAAAAAAUGUUGAUUUUGGAGAGUUGUAUUUUGAAUGAAACAGACCCAACCAAGGCCCCGAGUUACCCGGGUCCUGGGUUGACCCGUCAAGCGGGGCUGAGUUUGAUAACUAUGAUAACAACCAUGUCAGACCCAAGAUGUUAGGUAUAUCCUUGGAUCUAACGGCCAUAUCAGACCCAAUAGCCUUGGAUCUUACAUGACUACCAGACCUAGGGUCUGGUGAUUGGGUCUCGCAAUCAUGCCAGACCCCAACAUCUUGGACCUGGCUGCCAUGACUAAACUGAAAAAAAAAAAACAAAAUUUUGCAUAGUAACAAAUACAUAGUGAAAAUCCAACGUAUUUUAGUAUAUAAGUAAUAAAUUUAAUAAUUAACAUAUAAUGCAUGAUAAAAUUAGCAUUAAUUUUACCAGUGGCUACUGCAACAAUAAAGAAAAUAUUUUUAGCAUUCAAAUUGGUUAAAAAUCGAUUACAUGAUCAAAUUAGGGGUGAUUUGUUGAAUGAUUGUGUGGUUACUUAUAUCAAUAAAGAUAUAUUUAAAAGUGUUGAUAAUGAAAAGAUCCUACAAUGUUUUCACUAUAUGAAGUCUUGCAAUGAGCGAUUGUGAAUUUUAUAUAUAUAUAUAUAUGCAAUAUAUAUAUAUAUAUAUAUAUAUAUAUAUAUAUAUAGAAUUUUAUGAAAUAUCUUUUUAUAAUAUAUGUAAAUUUUUUAACUUUAUAUUAAAAAAUUAUAAUUUUUGGAUUUUUUAGAUCUUAAUUAAUUAAUGGAAAAGUUGAAGUUAAUUAUUAAAUUAUUCUCUCUUUUUUUCACAACUAUUUAACUAUUUAAUUUGUAAAUACAUCAGUCAUUUUAAAAAACCAACAUUUACACUUUUUAAAUUUGCUCUUAUAAUAAUAAUAAUUAUUUAUGUGAUAAUUUCAACCAUAUUUUUAAGCCUUAUACCAAAUACCUUCUAAGAGUAAUACCAAAUGAAGUUUUUUUUAACAAAACAUAUUUUUGAACCUAGUAGUUUUAUGUGUUUACAUUUUAACCGUAAACUUCAUUUCCCACUCGUUUCACUAUCUGAAUAUUGAGUUUUGGUCCUUGAAAUUCUCAUAAAAGUUCAUUUGGGUUCCUAAAAUUUUUUCUUUUAUCCUCGUAGUUUUAGCUAUUUAUUUAAUUCUAAAACUUUAUUUUCCUCACAUUUUAAUUCCUUGAUGUUACGAGUAUAAAGAGAAAGUCGUUAGAUAAAAAGAAAAGUAUUUUGGUGAGUUGUAUUUCAAGAACAAAAAAUACUGAUCUUAGUGUCCAUAAAUUUUUCUUUAAACACAUAACAAAAAAAAUUAAUAUUUUUUAAAAGUGGCCCUAAACAAAAUAAAAAAGAGGAGGUUUUAUCUAUUUUUUUGGUUUUUUAACCAGUCACAUUACUUUAUUUCUUUUCAAUUGCAUUCUUUAAAGCUAUAUUUUCAUGGCAACCAUAGCUAUCAAACCCAGCCUAGGAGUUAACCCGACUAAUGGGCUAAGUCCUGGUUUACACGAGUUGACUCGGGUCAACCAAGAAAAAUUUUAAAAAAAUAUUUGAGAUUUUAAUAUUUUAUAUGAAAAAAUAAGAAAUAAUCCAUAUGGAUAUAUGCUAUACAUGUUGUAAACAAUUAAAUUUAAAAGAUUAUUUCAAAAUGUUUUUUAUUCCACAUUGAAAAGAUACUAUCUUAUUCUUUUAAGUUAAAGUAUUUAAAUAAAAAAGGUUUUCUAUCCUACAUUGAAUAACCAUUAACUUUUUUAUUGUGAAUAUAGAAUAAAUAUAUAGACACAUACACACACUAAAAGACUUCAAAUUUUACAUUACAAAAAUAAAAUAUUUUUCUAAUAUUUAUAUACUGAACUUGAAAUGAGUUAGAAAAAAACUGAAAAUAUAUAAAAAAAAUCUCUAAAUAAAAGAAAAACACAUUUAAUAAAAACAGAAUCUCUAUCAAGUUUUUAUUGGGCCACCCGAGUUCCAGGUUUACCCAACAUGUUAACCAGUUUACUCCAGGCCACUUACACGUCCAAAUAUUGAAUGAAACAGACCACCAAGGCUUAUCAUUCUCUCUCACAUAAUCACUCUAUCACCCUUUCGCAAAAAUCCACCAAGGCUCCUGCUUUCCACUACUCCUUUUCUCUCACAUAUUCCGACCCUCACCCCUUCUGCAAAAAUCCACCAUGGCUCUGGAGUUGAUCGGAGGAUCAAUUCUCUCUGCUCUCGUUGAGGUACUGGUCGACAGGUUGGCCUCUCGUGAGGUUCUGGACUCCUUCAAAAGCCACAAACUCGAUGAUGGUCUUCUGGAAAAGCUGAAUGAAACACUGAAUACUGUCAACGGACUACUCGACGAUGCGGAGGAGAAGCAGAUUACAAAGCGUGCUGUGAAGAACUGGCUUAAUGAUGUUAAACACGCUGUGUAUGAAGCUGAGGACAUAUUGGAUGAGAUUAAUUAUGAAUAUCUACGAUCCAAGGACAUUGAUACCCCUCGACCUGACAGCAAUUGGGUAAGCAUAAGUUCUUGCACCUAUAGACCUUGCUUCCUCAUAAAAUGUUUUUUUUUUUUUUUUAACUUUCAUGUAUGCUCUCAAGUCUGUAAACGAGGAAAAAAUAAUUUUAGGGAUGGUUGUUGUCUUUCUGUGAGUUUUAAUUAAAGAGUAUUCAUUGUUAUGCAUGCAACUAAUAUCAUUGGCUUUUGGUGUCUAUGGCGUAAUUAUGCUUGCAAAUUCUCAUUUAUUAAUUAGUUUUCUAGACAUUUAAUCACUAUCUUUUUAAAACUUGAAUUUUACUGCGUGCAUUAAGUUAGCAUCAACAAUUGUAAAUUCUUGAAAAAGAUCUGUAGAAAGAAAACUUAUUAAUUCUCUAGAUGUAAAAAUCUUAAUGUUUAUGUUUUGAUAUUAAAAAAUUAUAAUGUUAUCCUGAAUUCUAUCUCAUAUAUUUAGUCCACCAUUGCAGGCAAGGAAUCUGGUUCCAUUUCUAAAUCCAGCUAAUAGAAGGAUGAAAGAGAUUGGAGCAGAGUUACAAAAGAUCUAUGAGAAGCUUGAACGUUUACUUAAACACAAGGGUGAUCUGCGCCACAUAGAAGGUACUGGUGGAUGGAGACCAUUGUCAGAGAAAACAACUCCACUGGUUAAUGAACCUGAUGUAUAUGGAAGGGACGCUGAUAAGGAAGCCAUAAUGGAGCACUUGCUGACACAACACAAGACAGAUGGCCCAAAUUUAGUUGUGGUUCCUAUUGUGGGCAUGGGCGGGAUUGGUAAAACCACUCUUGCUCAGCUUAUCUACAACGACGAAAAGGUAGAUCAGUUCUUCCAACUCAAGGCCUGGGUCUGGGCUUCUCAACAAUUUGACGUCACCAGGAUUAUUGAGGAUAUUAUUAAGAAGAUCAAAGCAAGGACUUGCCCCACCAAAGAACCAGAUGAAUCCAAAGAACCAAAUGAAUCUCUAAUGGAGGCAGUGAAAGGGAAAAAACUUCUACUUGUUCUAGAUGACGCGUGGAACAUCGAGUACAAUGAAUGGGAUAAAUUACUGCUACCUUUGCGGUAUGUGGAGCACGGAAGUAAGAUUGUCGUGACAACACGGGAAGAAGAUGUAGCAAAAGUCACGCAGACUGUCAUCCCCUCUCACCGCUUGAAUGUAAUAAGCGAUGAAGAUUGCUGGAAGUUGUUUGCAAGGGAUGCAUUUAGUGGUGUAAAUUCUGGAGCAGUCUCACACUUGGAAGAAUUUGGCAGAGUAAUAGUGAGAAAGUGCAAAGGUUUACCGCUGGCAGCGAAAACUCUUGGGGGUCUUUUGCACUCCGUAGGAGAUGUCAAGCAAUGGGAGAAGAUAUCCAAUAGCAGUAUGUGGGGUUCGUCGAAUGAAAACAUCCCUCCAGCUCUAACAUUGAGCUAUUAUUAUCUCCCUUCACACCUGAAACGUUGUUUUGCUUAUUGUGCAAUAUUUCCCAAGGAUUAUGUAUUCAAGAAGGAUAGAUUAAUCACUGAAUGGAUGGCACAUGGUUUUCUAGUCCAGCCCAGAGGCGUUGAGGAGAUGGAAGAUAUAGGUGAAAAAUACUUUAAUGAUCUUGUCUCCAGGUCACUUUUCCAGCAAUCCACUGGUGAUUCUUUUUUCAGCAUGCAUGACCUCAUAAGUGAUUUAGCUGAAUACGUGUCAGGAGAAUUUUGCUUCAAGCUUGGUAUUAAUGAAUCGGGCUCUGGGUUGGAGAGUGAACAUUCAUGCUCGCUUCCAGAAAGGACUCGUUAUUUAUCAAUCACUUCAGCGGCAGCAUAUGGCGGAGGACUUCGGAUUUUUCGUAGCAUUCAUGGAGUCCAACAUUUGCGCGCCUUGUUUCCACUGAAGUUUUUUGUGGAAGUUGAUAUUGAGGCACUGAAUGACAUUUUGCCAAAUCUUAAGCGCUUGCGAAUGCUAUCUUUAUGUCAUCCAAAAGAUAUUUCUUCUCAGUUGCUCAAUUCCAUUGGCAACUUAAAACAUUUGCGGCACUUGGACCUUUCUCAGACAGUAUUUAAACGGUUGCCCGAAAGUGUGUGCACCUUGUACUAUUUGCAAAGCUUAUUGUUAAAGGAGUGCCGACUUCUCAUGGAGUUGCCAUCCAACCUUUCCAACUUGGUCGACUUACAACAUCUUGAUAUUGAAGGGACAAAUUUGAAAGAGAUGCCACCAAAAAUGGGGAAACUCACGAAGCUUCGAAUUUUGGAAUCUUACAUCGUGGGAAAAGAUAGCGGGUCUAGCAUGAAAGAGUUGGGGAAGCUCUCACACAUAAGGAAAAAACUUUCUAUUCGGAAUCUCAGAGAUGUUGCAAAUGCUCAAGAUGCUUUGGAUGCCAAUUUGAAGGGUAAGAAGAAGAUUGAGGAGUUGGGGUUGACGUGGGAUGGCAGUACGGAUGACACACCACACGAGAGAGAUGUACUUGAGAAAUUGGAGCCUUCUGAAGAUGUGAAAGAGCUUGCCAUUAUUGGUUACGGGGGUACAACGUUUCCAGGCUGGCUUGGAAACUCUUCUUUCUCAAAUAUGGUAACGUUGCUUCUUUCUGGAUGUACGAACUGCAUCCUCUUACCACCAUUGGGGCAGCUGCCAUCUCUAGAAGAGCUCGAAAUUGAAGGAUUUGAUGAAGUCGUGGCAGUUGGUUCUGAGUUCUAUGGAAGUGACCCUCCAAUGGAGAAGCCAUUUAAAUCCCUCAUAACAUUAAAGUUUGAGGGGAUGAAGAAAUGGCAGGAAUGGAAUACAGAUGUAGCUGGUGCUUUCCCUCAUCUUGAAAAUCUCUUGAUAGCAGGUUGUCCAGAGUUAACAAAUGGCUUGCCUAAUCACCUUCCUUCUUUAUUGAUACUUGAGAUUCGAGCGUGUCCGCAGCUUGUGGUUUCAAUUCCAGAGGCUCCCCUGCUCAGAGAAAUCAAUGUAUCUGAGGGAGAUGAAAGUCGUAUAACUGGUCGUACGUCGUCCUAUUAUUGCUACUACUUACCAGAUCAACCACCCAAGUGCCUUCAUUUUAGACGAGAUCCCCAGCUAACGGGAAUGGAGCAAAUGAGUCAUUUGGAUCCCCGUCUUUUCACUGAUAUCAAAAUCGAGGAAUGUAGUUCAUUUAAGUGCUGCCAGCUAGACCUUUUACCCCAGGUCACCACACUUACCAUUGAACAUUGUCUCAAUCUGGAAUCCCUAUGUAUAGGCGAGAGACCUGUCCCUGCUCUCUGUCGUCUGACAAUCAGUCACUGUCCUAAUUUGGUGUCUUUCCCCAAAGGAGGACUAGCUGCCCCGGAUUUGACAAGCCUUGUGUUAGAGGGUUGCUUAUAUUUGAAGUCGUUGCCGGAAAACAUGCGUUCCCUCCUACCUUCCCUACAGGAUUUGCAAUUGAUCUCACUUCCAGAAGUUGAUUCGUUUCCUGAAGGAGGUUUACCCUCCAAUUUAAACACACUUUGCAUUGAAGAUUGUAUCAAACUCAAGGUAUGUGGUUUGCAAGCACUCUCUUCUCUUUCAUACUUCGAAUUUAGUGGGAACGAUGUGGAGUCUUUUGACGAGGAGACGUUGCCCUCUACUCUCACAACCCUUAAAAUCAAACGUCUGGGAAACCUGAAGUCUCUGGACUAUAAGGGGCUUCAUCACCUCACCUCUCUUCAGGGAUUGGGUAUCGAGGGUUGCCCUAAGCUUGAGUCCAUAUCAGAGCAGGCGCUUCCCUCCUCCCUUGAAUACCUUUAUCUCAGAAAUCUAGAAUCUCUGGACUACGUGGGGCUUCAUCACCUCACCUCUCUUGACACAUUGAAGAUCAAGAGUUGCCCUAAACUUGAGUUCGUAUCAGAACAGGUGCUGCCCUCCUCCCUUGAAUACCAGGGGCUUCAUCACCUCACCUCUCUUAGAAAUUUGAGUAUCGAGAGUUACCCUAAACUUGAGCACAUAUCAGAACAGGGGCUGCCCUCCUCCCUUGAAUGCCUUCAUCUCUGUAAACUGGAAUCUUUGGACUACAUUGGGCUUCAGCACCUCACCUCUCUUCACAAAAUGAAGAUCGGGAGUUGUCCUAAACUUGAAUCGUUGCAGGGGCUGCCUUCCUCCCUUGAAUUCCUUCAGUUAUGGGAUCAGCAAGACCGGGACUAUAAGGAACUUCGGCACCUCACCUCUCUUCGCAAAAUGAAUAUAAGAAGGAGCCUUAAGCUUGAGUACCUUCAAGAAGGCACACUUCCCUCCUCCCUUAAAGACCUUGAAAUCCAGGAUUUGGAAGAUCUGGAUUAUAAGGGGUUUCGGCACCUCAGCUCUCUUCGUAAAUUACAUAUCUGUAAUUCUCCUAAGCUCGAGUUCGUGCCAGGAGAGGAGCUGCCCUCCUCCCUUGUAUCUCUUAAAAUAUCAGGUCUGAUAAAUCUGAAAUCUGUAAUGAGGCUUCAGCAC
rnacentral:lncRNA from 1 species